AUAGGUAAACUUGUGUCAUGGGGAUUUGUUGUACAGAGUAUUUCAUCAUACAGGUUUUAAGUCUAGUACCCAUUAGUUAUUUUUCCUGAUCUUCUCCCUCCUCCUACCCUCCACCUUCUGAUAGGCCCUAGUAUGUGUUCUUCUUUG